rnacentral:rRNA from 1 species
CACGUAGGGGGCAAGCGUUGUCCGGAUUUAUUGGGCGUAAAGAGCUCGUAGGCUGUUCGAUAAGUCGGGUGUGAAACCUCCAGGCUCAACCUGGAGACGCCACCCGAUACUGUCAUGACUAGAGUCCGGUAGGGGAGCGUGGAAUUCCUGGUGUAGCGGUGAAAUGCGCAGAUAUCAGGAGGAACACCAGCGGCGAAGGCGGCGCUCUGGGCCGGUACUGGCGCUGAGGAGCGAAAGCGUGGGUAGCAAACAGG